rnacentral:rRNA from 1 species
UUGAACGCUGGCGGCAUGCUUUACACAUGCAAGUCGAACGGGGUGGUGGGGCAACCUGCCAUUCAGUGGCGAACGGGUGAGUAAUGCAUCGGAACGUACCCCGUAGUGGGGGAUAACGCCGGGAAACCGGCGCUAAUACCGCAUAUGCUCUACGGAGGAAAGUGGGGGACCUGAGAGGGCCUCACGCUAUGGGAGCGGCCGAUGUCCGAUUAGCUUGUUGGCGGGGUAAAGGCCCACCAAGGCGACGAUCGGUAGCUGGUCUGAGAGGAUGAUCAGCCACACUGGGACUGAGACACGGCCCAGACUCCUACGGGAGGCAGCAGUGGGGAAUUUUGGACAAUGGGAGCAACCCUGAUCCAGCCAUGCCGCGUGCGGGAAGAAGGCCUUCGGGUUGUAAACCGCUUUUAGCCGGAAAGAAAAGGCAUCUCCUAAUACGGGGUGUUCUUGACGGUACCGGCGGAAUAAGCACCGGCUAACUACGU